ACGGAGGGUGCAAGCGUUGUUCGGAAUCACUGGGCGUAAAGGGCGCGCAGGCGGUUUUUUCCUUCAGACGUGAAAGCCCACGGCUUAACCGUGGAAGUGCAUUUGAAACUGCCAGACUUGAGUACCAGAGGGGAAAGUGGAAUUCCCGGUGUAGAGGUGAAAUUCGUAGAUAUCGGGAGGAAUACCGGUGGCGAAGGCGACUUUCUGGCUGGAUACUGACGCUGAGGCGCGAAAGCGUGGGGAGCAAAAAG
rnacentral:rRNA from 1 species